UACAGAGGUUUCAAGCGUUGUUCGGAUUCAUUGGGCGUAAAGGGUGUGUAGGCGGCUUGUUAAGUCGGGUGUGAAAUCCCGGAGCUUAACUCCGAAACUGCAUUCGAUACUGCCGUGCUUGAGGACUGGAGAGGAGACUGGAAUUUACGGUGUAGCGGUGAAAUGCGUAGAUAUCGUAAGGAAGACCAGUGGCGAAGGCGGGUCUCUGGACAGUUCCUGACGCUGAGGCACGAAAGCCAGGGGAGCAAACGGG
rnacentral:rRNA from 1 species